UACGGAGGAUGCGAGCGUUAUCCGGAUUUAUUGGGUUUAAAGGGUGCGUAGGCCGGCCGAUAAGUCAGCGGUGAAAUACCAUGGCCCAACCAUGGAACUGCCGUUGAUACUGUCGGUCUUGAAUAUGGUCAAGGUAGGCGGAAUGUGUAAUGUAGCGGUGAAAUGCUUAGAUAUUACACAGAACACCGAUUGCGAAGGCAGCUUACUGGUCCAUUAUUGACGCUGAGGCACGAAAGCGUGGGGAUCAAACAGGAUUAGAUACCCUGGUAGUCCACGCCCUAAACGAUGAUUACUGGAUGUUGGCGAUACACUGUCAGCGUCUAAGCGAAAGCAUUAAGUGAACCACCUGGGGAGUACGAUCGCAAGGUUGAA
rnacentral:rRNA from 1 species